rnacentral:rRNA from 1 species
UACGGAAGGUCCGAGCGUUAUCCGGAUUUAUUGGGUUUAAAGGGAGCGUAGGCGGACUGUUAAGUCAGUCGUUAAAUUGCGUGGCUCAACCACGUCCAGCGAUUGAAACUGUCAGUCUUGAGUGCACAAGAGGCAGGUGGAAUUCGAGGUGUAGCGGUGAAAUGCUUAGAUAUCUCGAAGAACUCCGAUUGCGAAGGCAGCUUGCUGGGGUGCAACUGACGCUGAUGCUCGAAGGUGCGGGUAUC